UACGAGGGGGGCGAGCGUUGUUCGGAAUUACUGGGCGUAAAGCGUGCGCAGGCGGUUUGUUAAGUCCGUUGUGAAAGCCCCGAGCUCAACUUGGGAAUUGCAGUGGAUACUGGCAGGCUGGAGUACGGUAGAGGAAGGUGGAAUUCCCGGUGUAGCGGUGAAAUGCGCAGAUAUCGGGAGGAACACCGGUGGCGAAGGCGGUUCUCUGGGCCUUACCUGACGCUGAGGAGCGAAAGCGUGGGGAGCGAACAGG
rnacentral:rRNA from 1 species